rnacentral:rRNA from 1 species
UACGUAGGCAGCAAGCGUUGUUCGGAGUUACUGGGCGUAAAGGGUGUGUAGGCGGUCUUUUAAGUUUGGUGUGAAAUCUCCCGGCUCAACUGGGAGGGUGCGCCGAAUACUGAGAGGCUAGAGUGCGGGAGAGGAGAGUGGAAUUCCUGGUGUAGCGGUGAAAUGCGUAGAUAUCAGGAGGAACACCGGCGGUGUAAACGGCUCUCUGGACCGUAACUGACGCUGAGACACGAAAGCGUGGGGAGCAAACAGG